AAGUGAGCCUUAUAAAAGCAAACCAACUAAAAAAACAAAAAUUAAAAUGGACUUAAAAAUACAUAUAGAUUGAAGAUAUCUUCAGUAAAAAAUGAAUCAACUUAUAAUUGACCUAUAAAUCAUCAAUAUACAUAAUGAGUUAUGAGUCUAACACUGUGGGUAUAUAAGAGUAAGACGGCAGACAAAACAUGUAGCACUUGUCCUAUAUAUCUUCAAAGGUUGAAUUCUCCGACAACGUAUUUUCAAACUCUUCUGGGGAAGAAUCGAUGUGCCAGAGAGAAAAUGACACUAACCGUACUUCUUCGAAGUGUUGAGAUCCGAUCACAUUUUAUUCUUCUUCUUCUUUUCCUAAUAAACAUUGCGUUAUCUUCUGUUCUAUAUCUUGCACAGACAGUGUCGAAAAUACCUGAAAUGAAAUUUAAUGUUCAAAAACACUAGAAUGUUAAAAUAGAAGAAUAGUAUGUAUUUUUGACUUGCGGUAUCAGCAAGGUAUUAAAAUAUAUAUACAAAAUGGUAUAGCAGAAAUAAUACACUUUGAAGCCAU
rnacentral:lncRNA from 1 species